GGUGACCAUAGCGCAGAGGCCACACCCGUUCCCAUCCCGAACACGGAAGUUAAGCUCUGCCACGCCGAUGAUACUGCAUGGUUAACUGUGUGGGAAAGUAGGUAGUUGCCG
rnacentral:rRNA from 1 species